AUUGAACGCUGGCGGCAUGCCUUACACAUGCAAGUCGAACGGCAGCACGGGAGCAAUCCUGGUGGCGAGUGGCGAACGGGUGAGUAAUAUAUCGGAACGUGCCCAGUCGUGGGGGAUAACGCAGCGAAAGUUGUGCUAAUACCGCAUACGAUCUAUGGAUGAAAGCGGGGGAUCGCAAGACCUCGCGCGAUUGGAGCGGCCGAUAUCAGAUUAGGUUGUUGGUGAGGUAAAAGCUCACCAAGCCUGCGAUCUGUAGCUGGUCUGAGAGGACGACCAGCCACACUGGAACUGAGACACGGUCCAGACUCCUACGGGAGGCAGCAGUGGGGAAUUUGGACAAUGGACGAAAGUCUGAUCCAGCAAUGCCGCGUGCAGGACGAAGGCCUUCGGGUUGUAAACUGCUUUGUACAGAACGAAAAGUCUUUAAUAACACUAGAGGCUCAUGACGGUACUGUAAGAAUAAGCACCGGCUAACUACCG
rnacentral:rRNA from 1 species